GAAACCGGAGCUAAUACCGGAUAAUAUAUUGAACCGCAUGGUUCAAUAGUGAAAGACGGUUUUGCUGUCACUUAUAGAUGGAUCCGCGCCGCAUUAGCUAGUUGGUAAGGUAACGGCUUAACAAGGCAACGAUGCGUAGCCGACCUGAGAGGGUGAUCGGCCACACUGGAACUGAGACACGGUCCAG
rnacentral:rRNA from 1 species